AACUGGGCCAUACCACCCUGAAUCCAUCUGAUCUUGUCUAAUCUUAGAAGCUAAGCAGGGUCGGGCCUGGUUAGUACUUAGAUGGGAACCCUCAAAUUUUCUUAAUGUUAAUGAAGGAGCAACAGUUG
ensembl:rRNA 5S_rRNA 5S ribosomal RNA